GCGGUUUGCUAACGCCGGGUGUGUUUACAUUGCUGCAUUUCCCGUCCAGGGUCCUCAGACUCCAGGGCCUCUGACAGGACCCCACCUCUGACAGCUGCUUUGCAGCGGUGAAAGGAAGCACCACCGCCCGAGGUUAAUCGGCGCAGAGAGGCAGAUUCUUCACAGUCUGAGCCACCCAGGAAGUUGGAGCGUCCAUUAAUGUAUGCAGUUCUCGGAGCGGCAAAAAGUUGGACACAACUUAGCCACUGAACCACAAAAUUAAUCGCCAUCUGGGAAGCCUAGCUUUGGAAUCAACUUACCCACAAAUACAUUGAUUUUUAUCCCAACCUGAAGAAAUGAGAAGAAAAAUAACAUAUCUCUUUCAAAAAUGAUAGCACGAUUUGAAAGGAAACGCAAGCCCAGCAGAUUUCAUUAAUCACCUGAGGUUUUGCACGGCUUUGUAAAUGUUGACAUCUUUGUCAGCGUGUUGCCACCAUUGGCAACGGGUCAGAUCA
ensembl:lncRNA